GCAAGUCGAGCGAGAAAGUUGUGAUUGAAUCUUCGGAUGAGAGAUCAACUGGAAAGCGGCGGACGGGUGAGUAACGCGUGGGCAACCUGCCCUGUACAGAGGGAUAGCCACUGGAAACGGUGAUUAAUACCUCAUAAGGCCAUAGUCUCGCAUGAGACAGUGGACAAAGAUUCAUCGGUACAGGAUGGGCCCGCGUCUGAUUAGCUAGUUGGUAGGGUAAAGGCCUACCAAGGCGACGAUCAGUAGCCGACCUGAGAGGGUGAUC
rnacentral:rRNA from 1 species